rnacentral:rRNA from 1 species
UAGGGAAUCUUCGGCAAUGGACGAAAGUCUGACCGAGCAACGCCGCGUGAGUGAAGAAGGUUUUCGGAUCGUAAAACUCUGUUGUUAGAGAAGAACAAGGACGUUAGUAACUGAACGUCCCCUGACGGUAUCUAACCAGAAAGCCACGGCUAACUACGUGCCAGCAGCCGCGGUAAUACGUAGGUGGCAAGCGUUGUCCGGAUUUAUUGGGCGUAAAGCGAGCGCAGGCGGUUUCUUAAGUCUGAUGUGAAAGCCCCCGGCUCAACCGGGGCAGGUCAUUGGAAACUGGGAGACUUGAGUGCAGAAGAGGAGGGUGGAAUUCCAUGUGUAGCUGUGAAAUGCGUAGAUAUAUGGAGGAACACCAGUGGCGAAGGCGGCUCUCUGGUCUGUAACUGACGCUGAGGCUCGAAAGCGUGGGGAGCAAACAGG